UCUGGUUAAUUGCACAAUUACCUUAUGACCAGGUACACAUGCAAAGUGCUAUCAUUCCAUAAAAAGCUCCAACCAGCUAUAAAGUUAGACCCUGAAAAUAUAUACUAACUUUACAGCUAGUUGCUGCCAAGCUUUAAAUUAGUGUUUAACAGGCUCUGCCC